rnacentral:rRNA from 1 species
AUGCAAAAACUAGGCAGCAAAAUGCGACCAUUGUUGUACCUUCGCCUAUUGUUGGUGCCGUGCCUUCUUCUCUUGCAAGAAGCGUGUGCCGCGCGCCAUGGAGGGAUCUCUCUGAGGUCUCAACACAUGGCCCUCCUCCACUGGAAAGCAACACUUGCAACCCCACCGCUGCAGAUGAGUUCUUGGCAGGAAAACACCAGCCCCUGCAACUGGACGGGCAUCAUGUGCACGGCUGUUCCCCAUGGCCGCCGCAUGCCCUGGGUGGUGACCAACAUCUCCUUGCCAGAUGCUGGCAUCCGUGGCCAGCUUGGUGAGCUCAACUUCUUGGCUCUUCCGUUCCUCGCAUACAUUGACCUUACGAACAACAGUCUCCAUGGUGCACUACCCCCUAGUAUCAACUCCCUGUCAGCACUUUCGGUACUUAAACUUCCCUACAACCAGCUCACAGGGAAAAUUCCUCAUGGGAUUGGUGACCUGCAAAGUCUCAGAUGGCUUGAUCUCUCAUUCAAUAGACUCGCAGGACAUAUCCCUCCGUCUUUAGGCAACCUCACAAUGUUAACUAAUCUUACCAUUCACCAAACCAUGGUAUCAGGUCCCAUUCCUGAGGAGAUUGGGAGGCUUGUCAACCUACAAAUUCUACAGCUAAGCAACAACACCUUAAGCGGCAUGAUACCAAAAACCCUUGGAAACCUGACCCAACUAUAUCAUUUGGACUUGUUUAGUAAUCAACUUUCAGGGCCUAUACCCCAAGUACUAGGCAGACUAGUCCAUUUGCAAAUUCUUAUUCUUUGUAAAAAUGAUUUUUCAGGUCCAAUUCCAAUCUCCAUAACCAAUCUCACUAAGAUGAACACACUUUAUCUCAAUGAAAAUCAAAUCACAGGUCCAUUACCCCCAGAACUAGGCACCCUCGAUAUGCUAAACAUCCUUAAACUCGAAAAAAAUCAAAUGACAGGUUCAAUACCCCUAGAACUUGGCAACCUCACUAUGCUAAAUUCUCUGUAUCUCUAUACAAAUCAAAUCACAGGCCCAAUACCUUUAGAAUUGGGAUACUUACUAAACCUCCAGGAUUUAGAACUGGAUGACAACCAAAUAUCUGGCUCUAUUCCUGGCAUCAUAGGAAAUUUAACCAAGCUAGUACAACUUUCCCUCUCUGAAAAUCAGAUAACAGGUUUCAUCCCCCAGGAAAUUGGCAAUCUGAUGAACCUCCAAUAUUUAUACUUGGAUCUGAACCAAAUUUCGGGAUCAAUACCGAAAACUUUUGGUAAGUUGCAAGGCAUGCAACUACUGUCAAUCUCCGAUAACAAAUUAUCAGGUUCUCUUCCUCAAGAAUUUGGAGAUCUCACAAACCUUGUUAGACUAGGGUUGAAGAACAACUCACUUUCAGGACCUUUACCUGCAAAUAUAUGUUCAGGUGGCAGACUUCAACUUCUCGAAGUCGCUCGUAAUAUGUUCAAUGGCCCUAUUCCUAGUAGUUUAAAGACAUGUACGAGUUUGGUUGAAAUUUCCCUUGCAAAGAACCAACUAACAGGAGAUAUAUCUCAGCAUUUUGGUGUGUAUCCACAACUAACAGAGCUGAGCUUGACAUCAAAUAGACUCUCUGGGCAGAUCUCACCAAAUCUAUGUGCAUGUACCCAGCUAACGGUGCUACAUCUAGCACAAAAUAUGAUCACGGGUUCCAUACCUCCAAUCAUUUCUAAAUUGUACAACCUAGUAGAGCUAACACUCAGUUCUAAUCGUCUCAGCGGUAGGAUUCCACCAGAAAUCUACAGUUUAGCAAAUCUAUAUAAAAUGAACUUGUCAUCGAACCAAUUAUCUGGAUACAUACCUACACAAAUUAAAAAGCUGAGCAAUCUAGGAUACCUUGAUAUAUCUGGAAACAGAUUGAGUGGAUUGAUACCUGGGGAACUAGGGGCCUGCAUGAAACUACAGUUCUUGAAGAUCAACAACAGCUUCAGUGGGAGUUUGCCUGGUGCGUUUGGAAAUUUAGCAGGCCUGCAGAUCAUGUUAGAUGUGAGCAACAAUAACCUCAGUGGUGUGUUGCCGCAGCAACUUGGGAAGUUGGAGAUGCUAGAAUUUCUGAAUUUAUCACAUAAUCAGUUCAGUGGCAGCAUUCCAUCCUCCCUUGCAAGCAUGUUGAGCCUUUCAACACUCGAUGUGUCCUACAAUGACUUAGAAGGACCGGUCCCAACAACACGGCUACUUCAAAAUGCUUCAGCGAGUUGGUUUCUUCCCAAUAAAGGUCUGUGUGGCAACCUCCCUGGCCUGCCACCUUGUUAUUCAACCCCCGUAGCUUCUCACAAAAAGGGGAAGAUACUUGGUUUGCUUUUGCCAAUUGUUCUUGUGAUAGGUUUCGUCAUUGUUGCUGCAAUUGUUGUCAUAAUAAUACUUACUCGUAAGAAGAGAAAUCCACAAGAAAGUGUUACUGCUGAAGCAAGGGACCUAUUCUCUGUUUGGAAUUUCGAUGGAAGAUUAGCAUUUGAUGAUAUUGUAAGGGCAACAGAAGACUUUGAUGAUAAGUACAUCAUUGGAAUAGGGGGAUACGGCAAAGUCUACAAGGCACAACUCCAAGACGGGCAGCUGGUUGCUGUUAAGAAGCUUCAUCAGACCGAACAAGAGUUGGAUGAUGGAAGAAGAUUUUGUAGUGAAAUGGAAAUCUUAACACAGAUCCGACAACGAAGCAUUGUCAAAAUGUAUGGAUUCUGCUCCCAUCCAGCGUAUAAAUUUCUCGUUUAUGACUACAUUCAGCAGGGAAGCCUCCACAGGACAUUGGAAAAUGAGGAGCCAGCAAAGGAAUUGGAUUGGCACAAGAGAAUUGCUCUUGCAACUGAUGUGGCUCAAGCAAUAUCUUAUUUGCACCACGAAUGCAGUCCACCUAUAAUCCAUCGAGAUAUCACAAGCAACAAUAUCUUACUUGAUACAUCCUUCAAGGCUUUUGUCUCGGAUUUCGGCACAGCAAGGAUUCUUAAGCCCGAUUCAUCAAACUGGAGUGCACUUGCUGGAACAUAUGGCUACAUAGCUCCUGAACUCUCGUACACAUCUGUUGUGACGGAGAAAUGUGAUGUCUAUAGCUUUGGUGUGGUUGUACUAGAGCUAGUGAUGGGGAAGCAUCCAAGGGAUCUAUUAGACGGUAGUUUGUCAAGCGGGGAACAAGCUAUGCUGGUGAAAGAUAUUCUAGACCAACGACCAACAACACCACCAACAACAAAAGAGAAUCAAUUAGCUCUGCUCAUCAAGCUGGCCUUUUCUUGCUUGGAAUCUUCUCCAAUAGCAAGGCCAACGAUGAGGGAGGCACACCAAACACUCAUCCAGCAACCCUCUUCUAGUUCAUGCCCCGUGCCUUUUAGCGAACUUACAUUACAGGAAAUAAGAGACGCAUGUUGA